GAUGAACGCUGGCGGCGUGCCUAAUACAUGCAAGUCGAGCGAACAGACGAGGAGCUUGCUCCUCUGACGUUAGCGGCGGACGGGUGAGUAACACGUGGAUAACCUACCUAUAAGACUUGGAUAACUUCGGGAAACCGGAGCUAAUACCGGAUAAUAUAUUGAACCGCAUGGUUCAAUAGUGAAAGACGGUUUUGCUGUCACUUAUAGAUGGAUCCGCGCCGCAUUAGCUAGUUGGUAAGGUAACGGCUUACCAAGGCAACGAUGCGUAGCCGACCUGAGAGGGUGAUCGGCCACACUGGAACUGAGACACGGUCCAGACUCCUACGGGAGGCAGCAGUAGGGAAUCUUCCGCAAUGGGCGAAAGCCUGACGGAGCAACGCCGCGUGAGUGAUGAAGGUCUUCGGAUCGUAAAACUCUGUUAUUAGGGAAGAACAAAUGUGUAAGUAACUAUGCACGUCUUGACGGUAACUAAUCAGAAAGCCACGGCUAACUACGUG
rnacentral:rRNA from 1 species